AUUGAACGCUGGCGGCAGGCUUAACACAUGCAAGUCGAACGAGUGGCGGACUGGUGAGUAAUGCUUGGGAAUCUCGCUUAUGGAGGGGGAUAACUACGGGAAACUGUAGCUAAUACCGCGUACCAUAGGAUGAGCCCAAGGGGGAUUAGUUAGUUGGUGAGGUAAAGGCUCCCCAAGCCGACGAUCUCUAGCUGGUCUGAGAGGAUGACCAGACACACUGGGACUGAGACACGGCCCAGACUCCUACGGGAGGCAGCAGUGGGGAAUAUUGCGCAAUGGGGGAAACCCUGACGCAGCCAUGCCGCGUGAAUGAAGAAGGCCUUCGGGUUGUAAAGUACUUUCAGCGGGGAGGCGUUACCCGCAGAAGAAGCACCGGCUAACUACGUGCCAGCAGCCGCGGUAAUAC
rnacentral:rRNA from 1 species